AUGCAACACAUGACACAGUUCCCUUUUCAGAAUCCAGCCACCGAUGUCAAAUCUCAAACUAAAUGGAUUAAUGAAAAGAGACAGAGAAGUCCAGCAGCUGCCAUUUAUCCUUCUGAAAAUCACUCCGAGAAGCUGUCUUGCUUUUUUGUGGCAAUGUAUAUAUCCAACCAAUUGUAAAUACACAAGCCUCCAAUGGGGAAAACAUCGUAUUGCUUUAACUAGUUUUGUAGUUAUGUCGGAUGUGUCAAAAUCAAAGCAAUUGUCUACACAACGUUUCUUAUCAUAAUAUUCAUAUUAUGGAGUAGAACUGGCAAAGGAGCAUGUGACAAAACCCACUAUUUUGCCUGCGUAGGAGAUGGCCUCCUCCGAAGUUCACUAACAGGUUCCUGAACCUCAUUCAUGUUUUCCCUUUAUUCGGUAUAUAAAUCUACCGAACACUGACCAUCCCCCUUGCUCAUUAACUACAAAGAAACCACAGGAUUAAGUGCUCUCACUGUGUGUCCGCCUUUCGUAUAACCGAACGCCACGUGCUGGAGAAAAUGUCAGCCAUCUUGCUGCACGAACGCAUGCAGCGGGACUUGGUCGUUGAGUGUCUGGAACUCUAAGUCGGACACUCAACCUCACGAUUACCGGUGAAACCAGACGAACGCCUGCUUUCCGCGACAAGCUAGGAGAGCGUUGUACGGUAGGUUUGUUCGUACGAACAAGAUGAACAAACGCUACCUAUGAGCCAGGGGAACCAAUUGUCUUUUUGGUCGGUUUGGAACUCCUGAAAUUGACCGACAACUACCACUAAAACUAUGGAACUGAUUUGGGCAGACGCCUCAUGAGCGGUCGAUCAAAUCUUUACUCCGGUGGCGAUUCGACUGUAUUUGUGGGAUCUGAGCGCUAUUUGGACAACUUGGGCGCUCAGAUCCAGGCUAUCCGGGGAUAUAAUAUUUGUGCUGGUUUUCUAUAUGUUUAUUAUGUAUUUUGAUAUUUUAUGUUUUUAUGCAGAGUCACUCUGACACUGGAAUUUGUGGACAAUUUGUGGGAGUGUUCUUGGAGUGUUUUACUGCAUCCUUGUUUUGUAUAUAAGUG